UACAGAGGGUGCAAGCGUUGUUCGGAAUUAUUGGGCGUAAAGAGCGCGCAGGCGGCCAAGUCAGUCGAAUGUGAAAGCCCCCGGCUUAACUGGGGAGGGUCAUUCGAUACUGCUCGGCUCGAAGACAGGAGAGGGAAGUGGAAUUCCCGGUGUAGUGGUGAAAUGCGUAGAUAUCGGGAGGAACACCAGUGGCGAAGGCGGCUUUCUGGCCUGUUCUUGACGCUGAGGCGCGAAAGCUAGGGGAGCAAACGGG
rnacentral:rRNA from 1 species